GAAAUGCGAUAAGUAAUGUGAAUUGCAGAAUUCAGUGAAUCAUCGAAUCUUUGAACGCACAUUGCGCCCGCCAGUAUUCUGGCGGGCAUGCCUGUCCGAGCGUCAUUACAACCCUCAGGCCCCCGGGCCUGGCGUUGGGGAUCGGCGGAGCCCUCUGGGCACACGCCGCCCCCUAAAUCUAUUGGCGGUCUCGCUGCAGCCCACUGCGUAGUAGCUAACACCUCGCAACUGGAAAGCGGCGCGGCCAUGCCGUAAAACACCCAACUUUAUGAUGUUGACCUCGGAUCAGGUAGGAAUACCCGCUGAACUUAA
rnacentral:misc_RNA from 1 species